rnacentral:snoRNA from 1 species
GAGCCGUGAUGAAAGCUGCGCCAACGUGGAGGAAGGGUCUUCCACAUUUGUCUGAUAAUCAGAUGAAAAUUAGCGCUACUGAGCUU